ensembl:lncRNA
GGGGGGGGAGUCUAUAGGGGUCUACGUAAUUUUGGGUCAAAAUUUGGGAAUUUUGGGUCUAAAUUGGGGAAUUUUGGGUCUAAAUUUGGGGAUUUGGGGUAUUUUAUGUCUGAAUUUGGGAAUUUUGGGUCUAAAUUUGGGAAUUUUGUGUCUAAAUUUGGGAAUUUUGGGUCUGAAUUUGGGAAUUAUUUUGGAUCUAAAUUUGGGAAUUUUGGGUCUAAAUUUGGGAAUUUAAUGUCUAAAUUUGGGGAUUUUCUGUCUAAAUUUGGGAAAUUUGGGAAUUUUGGGGAAUUUGGGGUCUAAAUUUGGGGAUUUUGGGUCUGAAUGUGGGGAAUUUUGGGUCUAAAUUUGGGAUUUUUGUGACUAAAUUAGGGAAUGUUGGGGGAUUUUGUAUCUAAAUUUGGGAAUUUUGGGUCUAAAUUUGGGAAUUUUGUGUCUAAAAUUGGGAAUUUUGGGGAAUUCUGGGGAAUUUUGGGGAAUCUGGGGGUCUAAAUUUGGGGAUUUUGGGUCUAAAUUUGGGAAUUUUAGGGAUUUUUGGGUCUAAAUGUGGGAGUUUUGGGGAUUUUUGGGGAAUUUGGGGACUAAAUUUGGGAAUUUUGGGUCUAAAUUUGGGGAUUUUGGGGUAUUUUAUGUCUGAAUUUGGGAAUUUUGGGUCUAACUAUGGGAAUUUUGCGUCUAAAUUUGGGAAUUUUGUGCCUAAAUUUAGGAAUUUUGGGUCAAAAUUUGGGGAUUUUGGGUCUGAAUUUGGGAAUUAUUUUGUGUCUAAAUUUGGGAAUUAUUUUGUGUCUAAAUUUGGGAUUUUUUUGGGAAUUUUUUCCCAGAUUUCCUCUUCAAGUUCCUGGUGAUCGGCAGCGCCGGCACCGGCAAAUCCUGCCUGCUGCACCACUUCAUCGAGAGCAAGUUCAAGCAGGAUUCCAACCACACCAUCGGGGUGGAAUUUGGCUCCAAAGUCGUCAACGUGGGCGGCAAAAGCGUCAAACUGCAGAUCUGGGACACGGCCGGCCAGGAACGCUUCAGGUCCAAAAUUCCUUUUUUUCUACUUUUUCCCUUCUUAUCCCACUUUUCCCUCAUUUUUCCCACUUUUUUCCUCUUUUUUCCCUUUUUUCCCUUUUUUUUUCCCUGAUUUUUCCUGAUUUUUUCUGAUUUUUUUCCUGAUUUUUCCUCAUUUUUUCCUCAUUUUUUCAUUAUUUUUUCCUUCUUUUUUCCCUGAUUUUCCCUGAUUUUUCCUGAUUUUUUCUGAUUUUUUUUCUGAUUUUUCCUGAUUUUUUUCUGACUUUUCCCUGAUUUUUUCCUCCUUUUUUUUUCAUUUUUCCUAAUUUUUCCCCAUUUUUUUUCCUCAAUUUUUUCAUUAUUUCUUCCUUCUCUUUUUCCUGAUUUUUCCUGAUUUUUCCAUCAUUUUUCAUCAUUUUUCCUCAUUUUACCUCAUUUUACCUCAUUUUUUUCUCAUUUUUCCUGUUGUUUUCCUCAUUUUCCUGAUUUUGCACAUUUUUUCCUCAUUUUUCCUGAUUUUCCCAGAUUUUUUUCCUCUUUUUUCCCUGAUUUUUUCUGAUUUUUUCCUGAUUUUUCCUGAUUUUUUCCCUGACUUUUCCCUGAUUUUUUCCUCCUUUUUUAUUUUUCCUCAUUUUUCCUCAUUUUUUCCCUCAUUUUUUCAUUAUUUCUUCCUUCUUUUUUCCAUGAUUUUUCCUGAUUUUUUCUGAUUUUUCCUGAUUUUUCCUGAUUUUUUCCUGAUUUUUCCCUGAUUUUUUCCUCCUUUUUUUCUUCAUUUUUCCUAAUUUUAACCUCUUUUUUUUCCCUCAUUUUUUUCAUUAUUUCUUCCUUCUUUUUUCCCUGAUUUUUCCUGAUUUUUUCUGAUUUUUUUCCUGAUUUUUCCUGAUUUUUUUUUCUGAUUUUUCCCUGAUUUUUUCCUCCUUUUUUCUUCAUUUUUCCUAAUUUUUCCUCAUUUUUUUCCCUCAUUUUUUUUCAUUAUUUCUUCCUUCUUUUUUCCUGAUUUUUCCUGAUUUUUUCUGAUUUUUUCCUGAUUUUUCCUGAUUUUUUUUCUGAUUUUUCCCUGAUUUUUUCCUCCUUUUUUCUUCGUUUUUCCAAAUUUUUCCUCAUUUUUUCCUUAUUUUUUUCAUUAUUUUUCCUUCUUUUUUCCCUGAUUUUCCCUGAUUUUUUCUGAUUUUUCCUGAUUUUUCCUGAUUUUUUUUCUGAUUUUUCCCUGAUUUUUUCCUCCUUUUUUCUUCAUUUUUCCUAAUUUUUCCUCAUUUUUUUUCCUCAUUUUUUUCAUUAUUUCUUCCUUCUUUUUUCCCUGAUUUGUCCUGAUUUUUUCUGAUUUUUCCUGACUUUUCCCUGAUUCUUUUCCUUCUUUUUUCUUCAUUUUUCCUAAUUUUUCCUCAUUUUUUCCUAAUUUUUUCAAUAUUUUUUCCUUCUUUUUUUCAUAGUUUUUCCUGAUUUUUCCUGAUUUUUUCAUAAUUUUUCCUCAUUUUACCUCAUUUUUUCCUCAUUUUUCCUGUUGUUUUUCCUCGUUUUCCUGAUUUUUGCUCAUUUUUUCCUCAUUUUUCCUGAUUUUCCCUGACUUUUUUCCUCUUUUUUCCCUGAUUUUUUUUGAUUUUUCCUGAUUUUCCAGAUUUUUCCUGUUUUUUUCUUUUUUCCCUCUUUUAUUUGUCAUUUUUCUAUAAUUUUUCCUAAUGUUUCAUGUUUUUCUUCUCUUUUUUCCAGUUUUGUCUCCAGUUUUUCCUCAUUUUACCCUAUUUUCCCCCAUUUCCUGCCAUUUUUCCCAUUUUCUCCAUUCCCCCCAAUUCUUCCCAAUUUCCCCCAAUUUUUCCCAUUUUCCCCAAUUUCCCCCAUUAUUUCCCCAAUUUCCCCCCAAAUUUCUUCCAAUUUUCCCCACAUUUCCCCCAAUUCCCAGACAUUAUUUUCCCUGAUAUUUUCCCUAAUUUCCCCCAAAUUCCCCCCAUUUUCUCCAAUUAUUUUCCCAUUUCCCCCCAAUUUCACCCCAAAUUUCCCCCCAUUUUUCCCCAAUUUUUCCCCCAUUAUUUUCCCCAAUUCCCCCAAAUUUUCCCCCAUCCCCCCCAUUUUCUCCCAUUAUUUUCCCCCAUUAUUUUCCCAUUAUUCCCCAAUUUCCCCCCA